rnacentral:tRNA from 1 species
UCCCUGGUAGCUCAAAUGGUAAAGCAUCUGCCUGCAAUGUGGGAGACCCAGGUUCAAUCCCUGGAUUGGGAA